GGCCCCGUAGCUCAGCUGGAUAGAGCGUCUGCCUCCGGAGCAGAAGGUCGCAGGUUCGAAUCCUGCCGGGGUCA
rnacentral:tRNA from 1 species